rnacentral:rRNA from 1 species
AUUGAACGCUGGCGGCAGGCCUAACACAUGCAAGUCGAGCGGAUGACGGGAGCUUGCUCCUUGAUUCAGCGGCGGACGGGUGAGUAAUGCCUAGGAAUCUGCCUGGUAGUGGGGGACAACGUUUCGAAAGGAGCGCUAAUACCGCAUACGUCCUACGGGAGAAAGCAGGGGACCUUCGGGCCUUGCGCUAUCAGAUGAGCCUAGGUCGGAUUAGCUAGUUGGUGGGGUAAUGGCUCACCAAGGCGACGAUCCGUAACUGGUCUGAGAGGAUGAUCAGUCACACUGGAACUGAGACACGGUCCAGACUCCUACGGGAGGCAGCAGUGGGGAAUAUUGGACAAUGGGCGAAAGCCGGAUCCAGCCAUGCCGCGUGUGUGAAGAAGGUCUUCGGAUUGUAAAGCACUUUAAGUUGGGAGGAAGGGCAGUAAGUUAAUACCUUGCUGUUUUGACGUUACCGACAGAAUAAGCACCGGCUAACUCUGUGCCAGCCGCCGCCGUAA